CGAGCGCACCUUCGGGUGAGCGGCGGACGGGUUAGUAACGCGUGGGAACAUACCCCUUUCUACGGAAUAGCCUCGGGAAACUGAGAGUAAUACCGUAUACGCCCUUCGGGGGAAAGAUUUAUCGGUGAGGGAUUGGCCCGCGUUAGAUUAGAUAGUUGGUGGGGUAAUGGCCUACCAAGUCUACGAUCUAUAGCUGGUUUUAGAGGACGAUCAGCAACACUGGGACUGAGACACGGCCCAG
rnacentral:rRNA from 1 species